rnacentral:rRNA from 1 species
AUUGAACGCUGGCGGAAUGCUUUACACAUGCAAGUCGAGCGGCAGCACGGGGGCAACCCUGGUGGCGAGCGGCGAACGGGUGAGUAAUACAUCGGAACAUGCCCAGUCGUGGGGGAUAACACUUCGAAAGAAGUGCUAAUACCGCAUACGUCCUGAGGGAGAAAGCGGGGGAUCUUCGGACCUCGCGCGAUUGGAGUGGCCGAUGUCAGAUUAGCUAGUUGGUGGGGUAAAGGCCUACCAAGGCAACGAUCUGUAGCUGGUCUGAGAGGAUGAUCAGCCCCAGUGGGACAGAGACACGGCCCAGACUCCUACGGGAGGCAGCAGUGUGGGAUUUUAGACAAUGGGGGCAACCGUGAUCCAGCCAUUCCGCGUGAGUGAAGAAGGCCUUCGGGUUGUAAAGCUCUUUCGGGAGGAACGAAACGGCGAGCUCUAACAUAGCUUGCUAAUGACGGUACCUGAAGAAGAAGCACCGGCUAACUACGUGCCAGCCGCCGCCGUAACAC